rnacentral:lncRNA from 1 species
GGGGAUUGAGAAAAUCUUGUCAUCUUCGCUUGACUGUGCAUAUAAUAUUACUAAUCACCUGAGCAAAAUUAUAUGCACAGGCUCUAUCUACAUUAAAGUGAGGAUGAAUAUGCAAAACUGAGGGUCCUUAGAGGUUAUCACACAGCUCUACCAAUCUCCUUCAGGAAUGCCCAGAUACAGCACUGGACUAUAAACCAAAGAUGGGGUCCUAAAAGACCUGCUCGUCAUUAUAUACCCGAAACACUGUAUUUGGGCCUAGGAGUUAUUUUAUUAUAUAGAUUCAGUCUUUUAUUCACAACAUGUGAUAAUAGCAGUGUAUUAUUAUUCAUUUUUAUCUUAAAGACUUUAUUUUCCUUUUUUUAAAUUUUCCUUUAAACUAUCUGUAUUCUUUUGUAUGUGUUAAUCUUUCUAAGUUGUCUUCUCUUUCUGGAUUGACUUAAAAAUGAGAACUGCAGUUCUCUGUGGAACAACCCAGUCAAGUGAUGUAAACUCAUAAGAAUUCCUUCAAUCUAUUCAUUGUAUUGCUCUCUAA